rnacentral:rRNA from 1 species
UGCCAGCCGCCGCGGUAAUACGGAGGAUCCAAGCGUUAUCCGGAAUUAUUGGGUUUAAAGGGUCCGCAGGCUGUUUGUUAAGUCAGGGGUGAAAUCCUACCGCUCAACCCUGGAACUGCCUUUAAUACUGCUAGUCUUGAGUUCGAGAGAGGUAAGUGGAAUUCCGAGUGUAGAGGUGAAAUUCGUAGAUAUUCGGAGGAACACCAGUGGCGAAGGCAGCCUCCUGGCUCGACACUGACACUGAGUUGCGAAAGCGUGGGGAGCAAACAGGAUUAGAUA